UACGUAGGCAGCGAGCGUUGUUCGGAAUUACUGGGCGUAAAGAGUGUGUAGGCGGUGCUCCCAGUCUGUUGUGAAAUCUCCCGGCUUAACUGGGAGGGUGCAGCGGAAACUAGAGUGCUAGAGGGUGGGAGAGGUAAGCGGAAUUCCUGGUGUAGCGGUGAAAUGCGUAGAGAUCGGGAGGAACACCAGUGGCGAAGGCGGCCUUCUGGACCAGUACUGACGCUCAUGCACGAAAGCGUGGGGAGCAAACAGG
rnacentral:rRNA from 1 species